CUAUUCCCUUAAACCGUGUCUACAUACCUUUGUUGCUUUGGCAGGCCGCCUUCGGGCGUCGGCUCCGGCUGAUAGUGCCUGCCAGAGGACCCAAACUCUAUGUUUAGUGAUGUCUGAGUACUAUAUAAUAUUUAAAACUUUCAACAACGGAUCUCUUGGUUCUGGCAUCGAUGAAGAACGCAGCGAAAUGCGAUAAGUAAUGUGAAUUGCAGAAUUCAGUGAAUCAUCGAAUCUUUGAACGCACAUUGCGCCCCUUGGUAUUCCGAGGGGCAUGCCUGUUCGAGCGUCAUUAUAACCACUCAAGCCUGGCUUGGUAUUGGGGUUUUCGCGUGUUCGCGGCCCUUAAAAUCAGUGGCGGUGCCGUCUGGCUCUAAGCGUAGUAAUUUCUCUCGCUAUAGGGUUCCGGUGGUUACUUGCCAAAACCCCCCAUUUUUUCUAGGUUGACCUCGGAUCAGGUAGGGAUACCCGCUGAACUUAAGCAUAUCAAUAAG
rnacentral:rRNA from 1 species